rnacentral:rRNA from 1 species
UACAGAGGGUGCGAGCGUUGUCCGGAUUUAUUGGGCGUAAAGAGCUCGUAGGCGGUUGGGCAAGUCACGUGUGAAAUCUCCACGCUCAACGUGGAGGCGCCACGUGAGACUGCCCUGACUCGAGUCCGGUAGGGGAGCGUGGAAUUCCCGGUGUAGCGGUGAAAUGCGCAGAGAUCGGGAGGAACACCCGUAGCGAAGGCGGCGCUCUGGGCCGGUACUGACGCUGAGGAGCGAAAGCGUGGGGAGCAAACAGG